UCUGCUAUGACUUAGUUGAUACGAUGUGUGUAUUCACGGCUCUGUGGCAAUACUCGUAGAUGACUUGUUGAAAGGUAAAUUGUUAUUUGCACUUCGGUAUUUAACCACGCCUCUAGGGCACACCUUGCCAGGUGUGACUGUCUAUUCGGAUCAGUGAAUUAUAAAACAAGGGAGCAUUAAAUACACACAUUUAAAAUAUAUAUUCAAGUUGGUGACAAAUAAAAAUUGAUCGCCGUGGAAUUAUUUAAUUAUAUUUUGUUCUUUUAUUUAUUUGAAUUCAAAUUAGUUAAUUUACAAAGGAAUACACAAUUUUCGGUUAAAGACGGGAAACUUAAUUCAUAUGUCAGAUUGAAAUGAUAUACGCCUGUUGUCCUUGAUUGUUGUCUAUAAAAAGGAGAACUUAGAAAUUAGAAAUAGCUUUACCAAAGUAUUUUUAUUUGUCUUUAUUAGGCGAAAAAAUGUACGAGAACACUUAGAUUUAGACUUUUAAAAGCCAUGUAUUAAUUAAUAACUGGAACUAUCCGAGAAAGACCGUUGAGGGAUUUAGGGCUGCCCUGAAGGCAUGCUCUGAAAGGAAGUAGGAAAAACCAGUUGUAAAUAAUUUUAAUUGUAUAUUUUUUGCGAACGUUUUAAAUUUAAUUUGUAAAUAGCCAAGAGAAAUCUUUCCGUGUUGCCCGACACUGCGUAUAGUUUUCGCGCGGAACCAUUUACAUUCAGCACUGAAUCCGGUUCCUUACCUGGAAGAAGAAGAAGAAGAAGAUAACUCCACCGAAGCGGAAUAUAAUAUUUACGAAUAAAGAAAAAAUACUUUUGUACUUGAGAGGUUUUAAAAAAUUGACAGCAAAUUUAAGGUUUCU
rnacentral:lncRNA from 1 species